rnacentral:rRNA from 1 species
UACGUAGGGGGCAAGCGUUAUCCGGAUUUACUGGGUGUAAAGGGAGCGUAGACGGCGAUGCAAGUCUGAAGUGAAAGCCCGGGGCUCAACCCCGGGACUGCUUUGGAAACUGUAUGGCCGGAGUGCUGGAGAGGCAAGCGGAAUUCCUAGUGUAGCGGUGAAAUGCGUAGAUAUUAGGAAGAACACCAGUGGCGAAGGCGGCUUGCUGGACAGUAACUGACGUUGAGGCUCGAAAGCGUGGGGAGCAAACAGG